AAUCCUAUGCACCCAAUGCCUGCUAUUAUUUCAUAAUUCUUUCAUUUACUAUCAGAAAAUCAGGAAUUCCUGACUCAAGACCAGGACUGUAGGAAUAUGGGAAGUGAUACAAAAAGGUUGCUGAGGAGAUUGUGCUUGACCCAGUGCUUGAAUUCAUGUGGGAAGAGGUGGAGAGGAGAAUCCAGAAGUCAUAGAGGCUGCAGCAGUGAUGGAGAGGAGCUUGCUGCCUAGAGGAGAGGGAACUAUACUGUUUCUUGCGGCACAGAAGAAACCAUCUGUAGAAACUAAGAAGGAGACUGAUACACAGAGAGAAGGAGAUUGAGAGAAGCGAGGAGGAUGAACUCAUUGGUGGUGACAAGAGCAGCCCUCUGUCCUUCCUUCUCAUCGCCAAUGCUGGAAGAAGUGGGAUGUGAGUUCUCAAAUGUCACAGAAGCCUACAAAAUGCUGACUCCGGAUGCCACACAUAACUGGGGCUGGCUCAGAAUGGGGAGACAGGGCAACACCGUCAUCUGCUAAGAAUUCAUUGUUCUGCAGCUUUCCCUGAACACAAUGUUAGGUUGUUUCCCAUUGCAAUUGUUUGAUGCUUCAGUGACCAGCCUCGAAGAUGACUCCUCUGGCACAUGUACAGUUCUCCCA